GGGAAAAAUUUAAAGUCGGGCCUGCCCACUGAAAAUAUUGAAGGGCCGCGGUAUUCUGACCGUGCAAAGGUAGCAUAAUCAUUAGUCUUUUAAUUGAAGGCUGGAAUGAAUGGUUUGACGAGGUAUUAGCUGUCUUUAUAUAAAAAAGUAAAAUUUACCUUUUGAGUUAAAAGGCUUAAAUAAUAGUAGAGGACGAGAAGACCCUAUAGAGUUUUAUAGAAAUAAUAAGUGGGUUUAUAUAGAUGUUAGGAAAUCUAUUUAUUAUUUCUAUUGUGUUGGGGUGACAUAAAGAAAAAAUAAACUCUUUAUUAAUUGAAACAUAGAUUUAUGGUUAAAUGAUCCAUUAUUAAUGAUUAUAAGAUAAAAUUACCUUAGGGAUAACAGCGUAAUUUCUUUAGAGAGUUCAUAUCGAUAAAGGAGUUUGCGACCUCGAUGUUGGACUAAGAAAAUGGUUUGGUGUAGCAGCUAAAUUAAUAAGUCUGUUCGACUUUUAAAUUCUUAC
rnacentral:rRNA from 1 species